rnacentral:lncRNA from 1 species
CUAAAAUGCUAACAAUGUCCCCGACGCGACUCGAACAUAUCUACAACCAGGCCUGCCCUGACAACAGACUUGAUUUCUACUAAUGCGAUGAUCGGCUGUCUGCGAGGGAAGACUCAUGAGAAAAUAAGCUUUAUGUUCUACUCAAGCUAUUAUAUUUUAAAUUUUUGGGAAAAGUCGCCUAAAUAUUUUUGAGCGGCUGCAAGUGUAGGCAUAGAGGGUCUUCAAGAUGCAAUAAACACCAAAUGCCCGAGUUGGAGACCGAGACGGUGAGAUCUUUGUCAGAGCAUCUGAGGGCAAAUGUUGGAGUGGAGAAUAUUAAAGACCUUGAAUAUGUUCAGCCCGGAGGACAUAAAAGACCAUUUGACGCCAAUAUAGUGCCGGGAAUUGCUUCAGUCCUUCAACCAAAGAGGUGUGAUCUUGAUUGAUAAAUGUAACAUAUUUACGUCAUUGUUAUGAAAAAAGAUGCUAUCAGGAACCUAAAAUGGUUAUUUGGCUGUCCCCAUAUGAGAACCCUUUGAAGAUCCCUUUUUGAUUCCAGAUACAUGUAUAACCGUUUUGGUUCCAGGUAGAACUCUUCUGGGUUCCAUGUAGAACCCCUUCCAUAGAGGGUUCUACAUGGAACCCAAAAGGGUUCUACCUGGAACCAAAAAGGGUUCUCCUAUGGGGACAGCCAAAGAACCCUUUCGGGAACCCUUUUCUUUAAGAGUGUACGUACACACAAGUUUAAAAAGGUUCUGUAAAUAGUUCAUUUGUUUGCCCUCAAAAUAAAUGGUUUAUGCUAUGAGGGAGCGAGGCAUAUGCAAUAAAGGCGACAGAAAUUACAAAAAGUACAAAAAUAUACAAAUGUUUCUGUAAAUUGUUUGUCCUCUUGUGCAGCACAUAGCCUAACAGAGUUUUUUCUUAGAAUUUUUUAAAAGAAAAUUAAGAAUGGAUAGGAUCUUUAACAAUGGAUAGGACACUUGUCCUCCUCCAAGCGUCAGUGACCUCCAGGAACAGUGGCCUUUCCUUAUCACCAAGUUAUGGCUCUGCGACCACUUCAAUACCCUCACUGGCAUCGUGAUUGACAGUUGCCUGACUCAAGCUCUCCUGAACAAGGGUAAGAGAAUUGUCAACUUUUUUAAAAGCUAAAAGACCAAGCUGAGGAGAGAGAUCCAGUGCCUGCUGAAUGAAAUCGACAUCAGAGGCAAUGACGAUCACUGCUGCCAUUCUUUUGUUGAUGACCCACUUCAAAGAGAAGGACGAAUCUCUGUUCCUCUUGGAAGAUGUCAUUGUAACUCAGGUUGAUGUCGAGGCGCAAAUUCCUUUGCCAUACACACCAAGGCUGAUCAUGCUUGGAAAUACUCUAUUAUAUUCCUCAAAAUGGAUGGUGUCGAUCGAGGGGAGAGUGCUCUGUGUUUUGGACAGUGAGUCCAACUUUGCUGCUGCCCUUUCUGUGCUCUUCAGCACGUUCAAUGUUUUUAACAUAGAAUACCAGGAGUUGGCCUCUGCAACCUUGGGGCUGAUACAGAGGUAAGCAUUGAACAUUCAUUGAUCCAACACUUACAUUUAGCAUUUGUUAGUUACAUUGCAAUGAUAUUUCUUAUUGUUAUUUUUUUCAAUGCCUCAACUGAUUUAAUAUAUUCUAUGUUGGGUUGUGCAGGUUCCUGGUUUGAGUAAACCCUGAAGGAACCAAAUGCACAGCGAAAGCAAGAGUGAGCCGCAAGACCGUAAAGGUCAUUCAGAGGAAGCCAUUGCCAAUUAACCCACAUGUUAGACACUUUCUCGCAGACCUGAAGGAGUUCGAGUGUAAAAACAGACACACCUGAUGAACACAAACUUUGUCAGUUGUCAUCUGCCUUUUUACCCAGCGAGUAAUAGUAAUUGUAAUAGUAGUAGUGAUAGUAAUAGUAAUAGUAGUAGUCAUAGUAGUAGUGAUAGUAAUAGUAGUAGUAAUAGUAGUAGUGAUAGUAAUAGUCAUAGUAGUAGUAAUAGUAGUAGUGAUAGUAAUAGUAGUAGUAAUAGUAGUAGUAAUAGUGAUAGUAAUAGUCAUAGUAGUAGUAAUAGUAGUAGUCAUAGUAGUAGUGAUAGUAAUAGUAGUAGUCAUAGUAAUAGUAGUAGUGAUAGUAAUAUUGAUAGUAGUAGUGAUAGUCAUAGUAAUAGUAGUAGUGAUAGUAAUAGUAGUAGUCAUAGUAAUAGUAGUAGUGAUAGUAGUAGUGAUAGUAAUAGUAGUAGUGAUAGUAGUAGUCAUGGUAAUAGUAGUAGUAAUAGUAGUGGUUAUAGUAGUAGUCAUGGUAAUAGUAGUAGUCAUAGUAAUAGUAGUAGUGAUAGUAAUAGUAGUAGUCAUAGUGAUAGUAAUAGUGAUAGUAGUAGUGAUAGUAGUAGUAGUAGUAAUAGUAGUAGUAGUAGUGAUAAUAAUAGUAGUAGUCAUGGUAAUAGUAGUAGUAAUAGUGAUAGUGAUAGUAGUAGUCAUGGUAAUAGUAGUAGUAAUAGGGAUAGUAGUAGUAAUAGGGAUAGUAGUAGUAAUAGUAGUAGUGAUAGUAAUAGUAGUAGUGAUAAUAGUAGUCAUGGUAAUAGUAGUAGUGAUUGUAAUAGUAGUAGUGAUAGUAGUAGUAGCAGUAGUUGUAGUAGUCGUAGUGAUAGUAAUAGUAGUGAUAGUAGUAGUAAUAGUAGUAGUCAUAGUAGUAGUCGUCAUAGUAGUAGUGAUAGUAGUAGUAAUAGUAGUCAUAGUAAUAGUAGUAGUGAUAGUAGUAGUCAUAGUAACGGUAAUAGUAGUAGUAAUAGUAGUCAUAGUAUUAGUCAUAGUAAUAGCAAUCUCUAUCUUUCUAUGUCCAUGUUUGUCCUAGUUGACGUAUCAGAGCUAAGGAGGAUCAGUUUCAAAGAUUGGGGUGAUAAUCUGCACGCCACCGAGAUUUAUUCGAGACUUAUUUGCGUCUCUCAUUUUCUCAGAAAUCCUUCCAUGUGGCUUGGGUCAGCAAAUGAUCUGCUUGCGCCAUCCCGGAGCCUGUGUUGGCUUGUGGUAGCGUGCUUCUCUGGCUCCAGUCUAGCCCUGCUCGCUCCUCUCUAUCCAUCCUUCUCUCUCAGCCCCUUUCUCUCUCGAUCUCUCUCUUGUUUCUCUCUCAAAGACAGGCAGGCAAGCAGUUAUUGUUAUAGUUUUUUGUAAAAAAUGUUCCCUGUUCAACUGUUCUUUUCCUAUUUUUCAUUGAUCUGUUUAGAUUUUAUUUUUUUCUUACAUAAUCCUGUAUUUUCAAGAAUUACCUUGUUACGUUCCCCAGUUUCUGUGUUGUAGUUUGUGUUUCAAGUAAUGGCUUCCUGAAGUUCUCCAAGCAGCUGAUUGGUCGGCCCCAUUGCUGAUUGGAGAGCUGACCCGCCCCCUCGUCAGGACGCAGCUGUCUCCAAUUAACAACCCCACCUAAAGCUAUAUAAGCCAGUGUGCUGUUGCUCAGAGGAGGAGACACACAGAUGAUGACAGAGAGAUAUUUGCUGGGAGACACAGAUAAUGGCUGAGAGUUAGUUGGUUGUUGCUAAGACAUUUGGUAUGUAGUUGUUGCUGUGAGAGCUGAUUGUAAUUUUCUGUGUUAGUUUGUUGCUCAGAGAGAGCUUCUUUAAUGUCCUGAGUUAGUGGUUUUUUUCUCAGUUUGUUGUAAAGACAUUUGGAAUAUUCUGUUUCAUUUGUUCCCAGGGGGGAAGGGGAAGGCACCUAGGGAGUGCUUAGGCAAGAGGCCCGCGGGCAUACAUAUACCCGUAGUAAUUUAUUGUCUAUGCACACUAGGAAAGACCUGGGUGGACCAUCCCCUGUAUUUUGGUUAGUG